GGGGGGUGCGAGCGUUGUCCGGAAUCACUGGGCGUAAAGGGCGCGUAGGUGGUCUGAUAAGGGUGUGGUGAAAGCCCGGGGCUCAACCCCGGGUCGGCCGUGCCGACUGUUGGACUAGAGUGCUGUAGGGGCAGGCGGAAUUCCGGGUGUAGCGGUGGAAUGCGUAGAGAUCCGGAGGAAGACCGGUGGCGAAGGCGGCCUGCUGGGCAGUUACUGACACUGAGGCGCGACAGCGUGGGGAGCAAACAGGAUUAGAUACCCUGGUAGUCCACGCCGUAAACGAUGGGUACUAGGUGCCUGGGGGAGCGACCCCUUGGGUGCCGGCGCUAACGCAGGAAGUACCCCGCCUGGGGAGUACGACCGCAAGGUUG
rnacentral:rRNA from 1 species